rnacentral:rRNA from 1 species
UACGUAGGGUGCAAGCGUUGUCCGGAAUUAUUGGGCGUAAAGAGCUCGUAGGCGGUUUGACAAGUCUGAUGUGAAAUCUCUGGGCUCAACCCAGAGUCUGCAUUAGAAACUGUCGGGCUUGAGUAUGGGAGAGGUGAGUGGAAUUUCCGGUGUAGCGGUGAAAUGCGUAGAUAUCGGAAGGAACACCUGUGGCGAAAGCGGCUCACUGGACCAUAACUGACGCUGAGGCGCGAAAGCGUGGGGAGCAAACAGG